CUAGUCCUAGGGCGCAGCAGUGAGGAAUAUUGGUCAAUGGGCGGAAGCCUGAACCAGCCAAGUCGCGUGAGGGAAUAAGGCCCUACGGGUCGUAAACCUCGUUUGCCGGGGAGCAAGGGCGGGGACGUGUCCCGGCCCGGAGAGUACCCGGAGAAAAAGCAUCGGCUAACUCCGUGCCAGCAGCCGCGGUAAUACGGAGGAUGCGAGCGUUAUCCGGAUUUAUUGGGUUUAAAGGGUGCGUAGGCGGGCUUUUAAUUCAGCGGUAAAAAUUCGGGGCUGAACCCCGGCCGGCCGUUGAAACUGGG
rnacentral:rRNA from 1 species